rnacentral:lncRNA from 1 species
AUUGUGCUCUUUCCAGAACCACUUCCGCCAACAAGAGCCACAAUCUUCCCAGAAGGUAUGUCAAGGCGAAGCUUGUUGAAUAUAGUUACAUCAGGGCGAGAAGGGUAUCUAAAAGUAACGUCCUUGAAUUGGAUGUGACCCUCCAGUUUGGUUAACUUUUUCCCAGUUUUUGAGCUGGUUUUACUCACUGUGUUCCUCUCUAUCAUCUUGAAAAUAGGACCUGCUGCUGCUUUGGCCCUUACGAAUGCAGUGAUAUCCGGAGCUGCCUGUCCCAGUGCCCUUUUGAAUACCAUAGAUAGAAGAAUGAGUCAGAUAGUACUCAACUAGUCACUGCUCCAAGAUUUUAAACACAAUGAAGAACUAC